AAACGAUGCCAACCAGCAAUCCGCCUGAGUUCCUUAAAUGACUCGGCGGGCGGCUUCCGGGAAACCAAAGUUUUUCGGUUCCGGGGGAAGUAUGGUUGCAAAGCUGAAACUUAAAGGAAUUGACGGAAGGGCACCACCAGGAGUGGAGCCUGCGGCUUAAUUUGACUCAACACGGGAAAACUUACCCGGCCCGGACACUGGAAGGAUUGACAGAUUGAGAGCUCUUUCUUGAUUCAGUGGGUGGUGGUGCAUGGCCGUUCUUAGUUGGUGGAGCGAUUUGUCUGGUUAAUUCCGAUAACGAACGAGACUCUAGCCUACUAAAUAGACCAGAGGCUUCUUAAAACACGUCUCUGGCUGCUUCUUAGAGGGACAGGCGGCGGUUCAGCCGCACGAAACAGAGCAAUAACAGGUCUGUGAUGCCCUUAGAUGUCCGGGGCUGCACGCGCGCUACACUGAAGUGAUCAGCGUGCAAUUUACGUUUGGUGAUCUGUCAAGAUUGCCCAACCCGUUGAACCUUCUUCGUGAUUGGGAUAGGGGAUUGUAAUUAUUCCCCUUGAACGAGGAAUUCCCAGUAAGCGCAAGUCAUAAGCUUGCGUUGAUUACGUCCCUGCCCUUUGUACACACCGCCCGUCGCUACUACUGAUUGAAU
rnacentral:rRNA from 1 species